rnacentral:rRNA from 1 species
GACGAACGCUGGCGGCGUGCUUAACACAUGCAAGUCGAACGGAAAGGCCCUGCUUUUGUGGGGUGCUCGAGUGGCGAACGGGUGAGUAACACGUGAGUAACCUGCCCUUGACUUUGGGAUAACUUCAGGAAACUGGGGCUAAUACCGGAUAGGAGCUCCUGCUGCAUGGUGGGGGUUGGAAAGUUUCGGCGGUUGGGGAUGGACUCGCGGCUUAUCAGCUUGUUGGUGGGGUAGUGGCUUACCAAGGCUUUGACGGGUAGCCGGCCUGAGAGGGUGACCGGCCACAUUGGGACUGAGAGACGGCCCAGACUCCUACGGGAGGCAGCAGUGGGGAAUAUUGCACAAUGGGCGGAAGCCUGAUGCAGCAACGCCGCGUGCGGGAUGACGGCCUUCGGGGUGGAAACCGCUUUCGCCUGUGACGAAGCGUGAGUGACGGUAAUGGGUAAAGAAGCACCGGCUAACUACGUG